rnacentral:rRNA from 1 species
UACGUAGGGGGCAAGCGUUGUCCGGAUUUAUUGGGCGUAGAGAGCGUGUAGGCGGCCAGACAGGUCCGUUGUGAAAACUCGAGGCUCAACCUCGAGACGUCGAUGGAAACCGUCUGGCUAGAGUCCGGAAGAGGAGAGUGGAAUUCCUGGUGUAGCGGUGAAAUGCGCAGAUAUCAGGAAGAACACCUAUGGCGAAGGCAGCUCUCUGGGACGGUACUGACGCUGAGACGCGAAAGCGUGGGGAGCGAACAGG